UUACCAUCUCAUUUGCUGCAUUGAAGCAUUUUCCUUGGAAGAAUGUACCUGUGUAUAUUGGUGCACAAAUAUUGGCAUCAAUAUGUGCUGCAUUUUCUUUGAAAGUGAUUUUUCAUCCAUUCAUGAAUGGUGGAGUGACGGUUCCUUCAGUAGCAAUUGGUGAAGCUUUUGCAUUAGAAUUAAUUAUUGACUUUAAUCUCACUGUUGUUGCCACCGACACAAGAGCUAUGGGAGAAUUUGCGGGAAUCACGGUGGGAGCCACCAUCAUGCUCAACAUACUCAUAGCCGGGUAUGUUCAACGUUAUUAUUUUUA